rnacentral:rRNA from 1 species
GACAGAGGGUGCAAGCGUUGUUCGGAAUUACUGGGCGUAAAGCGUGUGUAGGCGGCCAGACAAGUCGGAUGUGAAAGCCCCAGGCUCAACUCUGGACAGGCGGUGGAAACUACCAAGCUGGAGUACGGUAGGGGCAGAGGGAAUUUCCGGUGGAGCGGUGAAAUGCGUAGAGAUCGGAAAGAACACCAACGGAGAAAGCACUCUGCUGGGCCGACACUGACACUGAGAGACGAAAGCUAGGGGAGCGAAUGGG